CCUUCUACCCCAAGACAGCUUGCGGGGUUACCACCGGCUAUGUCAGCUGGACGCUCUUCUGCAUCGCGUCAGCCAGAGGCAUCUAGAGCACCGAGUGGGCGGGUUUUUGCCACUCAGGUGGAGGAGCCGAUUGCAGUCCCCGACGACGUCGUGGCAGGUAUUAUCUUGAUCAAAGGCACUAGAGCUAGAGCUUUAUUCGACACAGGUGCAUCGCAUUCAUUCAUAGGUGCAUCAUUUGCAAAAGCUCAUAACAUAGAGAUCAC
rnacentral:lncRNA from 1 species